rnacentral:misc_RNA from 1 species
GAUGAAGAACGCAGCGAAAUGCGAUAAGUAAUGUGAAUUGCAGAAUUCAGUGAAUCAUCGAAUCUUUGAACGCACAUUGCGCCCCCUGGUAUUCCGGGGGGCAUGCCUGUUCGAGCGUCAUUUCACCACUCAAGCCUCGCUUGGUAUUGGGCAUCGCGGUCCGCCGCGCGCCUCAAAUCGACCGGCUGGGUCUUCUGUCCCCUAAGCGUUGUGGAAACUAUUCGCUAAAGGGUGUUCGGGGGGCUACGCCGUAAAACAACCCCAUUUCUAAGGUUGACCUCGGAUCAGGUAGGGAUACCCGCUGAACUUAAGCAUAUCAAUAAGCGGAGGA